ACUCUUUGAGGAAACAAAUGGGGUCCUCUUGCCCCAAAUCGGAUAAAACCAGGUUAAUCCAACCCGACCGACCCGGUUUGAAAAAAAGGCGUUAGACAGUCCCAAACUCUCGUCGUUGAACGGCCGUUCGUUCCUCACUUUCCGGUUUCUCUCCGAUUUGCAACGUUGCUUCUCAGAAGCAAAAGAAUGCUUAACCAUUCAUGGGUAUGUUCUUGCUUUGUUGAUCUCCGAAGUUGACUAAAAGCACGGAACUUUACGUCCUUCUCUCAAGAAUUUCGAUAUCUUCCAUGAAGUUAGUAAAUUUAUCUGUAUAUAUAUAUAUAUGAGAUCAUAACUACGCAAAUUAAUGGUGUUACACAUUUUUGCACAAGAUUGUCUCUUUUGGUUCAACUAAUAUAAUUCAAUUUUAGACGAAUCUCUCAAUCUAACAAAGGAAAUCAAAGGCUUUUCAUUUCCUGUGUGAUUAUCAUAAAAAGGUUGUUGCAGUCUUUAAGCUUCUAUGUUCUUCUCAAUUCCAGCUGAAUCCAUUCAAAUCAAACUGUUUAGGACGUGUUGUGCCAUAGUUUUCGUCGCGUGUGUUAAGAUCUAGAGCUGUUCUUGUGUGUGUUUCAAGCUUGCAAUCUUCACCAUUCUCGUUGAAUCUUUCCUCUGUAUACUCACUGUUGUUGCUACUCCCUCCUCUGUGUUCAUGUAAUCCCACUCCUAUUGACAAUCUUCCAGGGCUUCUUCUUGAUGACGAGAUUCUCGGUUCUGUGUUGUUAACCAUUGUCGACAGAUAUGGCCUAUUGUUAUUCUCUCUGAGGCUUUCUUCUUCUGCCCAUGUGAGCUCCAUUCGAUGGAAGAAUGGUUCUUCCAUUAUCUCUUUCUGCUCUGAAGUUGAAUCUCCGAUAUAUGUUCUUAAUCCCAGUCUGUUGUCAAGCAUCUUUCGGGCUUUCUGGUUUCCUUCACUUGAGGUUAAGCAACUGUCCAGGGAGGAGUUAGGUGGAUAGGUUGUUUGCAUCUGUUGAUGGCGUAGAUUCUGCAGUUCUUUCGGUUCUAGGAAACUAGAGUCUGGAUAUUCUGCUGAUACUUUAGAUACUAAUUCUGAGAGUUGAGCUUUUGUUGCUUCAAUACCAGCUGCACCUAGGUUUUGUUGUUCCUUGUGCCUUGUGAUAGAUGUCUCAAGAUGAGUCUGAAAGGGGAAAACAAGCCAAAUGACAUGACUCACCACGAGAGAAGAAAUUACAGCAUUUGCAUACCAAUGCAUAUUUUUCAGGUCUUACCAAUCUGGGCGGUCUUGACUUUCCUUUUUGGACAGACAGUCCUUCCAAUUCAGCUUCAAAGCUACCAAUCUGUGACUCCAGUUCACUCACCUAUCAAAAGCAAGAAAAUAAGAAACGAAUCAGCUAUAGCACUGACAGAAGAUGAUCCAUAAGGACCGAAUUACCUAGUUUCCCUCGCACAUAAACCAUAUUUCAAAAACACCAUUAACAUUAGUCUUCUUUGACGUUUCUGUUAAAGGAAGGGGUCAAGAAUCAAUAAUUAGGCACGAAUACGCCAAAACAACUCACCACAUUGUUUAACCAAUCCCUUGUCUCUGACUUUGCUUUCUCUUUUGGGUCCUAUAAAACAUGAAGCUGACAAACUCAGUAGCCUGAAUACCGAAAAGAGUUUUCGCUAAUAUAUAUAACCACCUAGGAAUAUCCAACAGAUUUCACAAAACCAGAAAUGUUUUAAUAGAAACUCAAUGAUAUGUUAGAAACUUAAGAAGAAAAAAUUGUAGGAAAACACUUCAAUUUCACAUUAUUAUUUGGGGUAAACCAGAAAAGUAGAGAAAUUCUUACAGUUUUAGGUUGCUGACCCAGUCCUUCCUUGGAAAAAGCUUUUGUCUUGGUCUCUUUCUCACAGAUCUUAAACCUCUCCAUCUCUUUCUCAAUAAGCUUCCGAGCGUCAACCAGGGAUUGCUCAUAUGAUGCACUGACCUAAGUCAAACGACAGACAAUCUGAUCAGUUCAGUCUAAAAACAAAUGGGUAUUAAGAUUCCUUCAAAACAGAACAAUAUUUAAGGAAUGUAAAAGUAAAACUAGAGAUGAAGCUACUCCUUUCAGCUUAUAUGAACCAAAAUUAAACUAGCUAGAGCCUAGAGGGUAGCCAAAAGUAUGACAGACAAAACCACCGGUGAAAGCACCUUACUCAAAUGAAUAAAAUAUCAGACUUUUUCUUUAAGAUGUUAGGAAAGCUUUAGUUAUAACAUGAAUCAUCACCAUGAACUUUAGACAGGAGAGAUAACUAAACACAGCCGUAGAUUUAAGAGAAUGCAAGGGAGCCAAGUCGCCUCAUUAGUCAAUUAAAAAGGAAAAAAGGCACUGAAGAUGAAGAAGACCACUGACUUUCUUAUCUUUGAUCUCACUGGACUGAAUCCAAGUCUUGAUCUGGUCUCUAUACCGCUGCAGCUUCUUGAUUUCCUUCUUCAAGUCCGCCUCAAACUUUUCCUUUUGGUUAACAUUGUCUGUAUCAUAUACCUGAAACACCAAAAAAGUCCGAAACCGAGUUGUUCCUCUGUCCAGUAAAAAACUUUUCUGCUUCGAAAACAAACAUUCUGCUCACAUUCCACUGCAUAAAAAACAAACGGAGCUCGAUAUUGAGUUCCACUGGAAAAUUACCUCACAAAACAAAACAAACAAAAAGUUAUAAACAACAAAAAAAAAAUUAGCAAAUCAAACAAUUAUCACAGACAUUUCCAAUCUCUUCAAGCACAAUCUAAGUAUCAUCGAUUAAGAGCCAAUGCAUGAACCAACAAUCGCAAUCCAAAACUACACACAGUGUUUAUUUUCCUAUAGAUCUUCAUGCAUUCUCGACAUCAACGAUGAACAAUUGAGAAAGAAAGACAAAACAAUCAAUCAUUGGAAUUAUAUAGACGAAAUUGUGGGCAGAGAGGAAACGAUACCUUGUUCCAGAUGCUGUCGAAAACAUCAACACCUUCUUGAACCUUCUUCAGCACCCGAUCUAUCUCGCCUUGUAAUUUCCGGCUCGCACCCAUCACAGCCGAACCAGAGAAGAGACUCCGAUGAUUUUAUCCAAAAAACAAAAAAAAAGUUAAUUCGUCGGAAUUUGGUUUCGGAAAGUAGCAGCUGAUAGUAUUUUAGGGUUUCGCUAUCAGAAGGGAGCGAGAGGAAGGAGAUGAUGUGUAUGUAACUAACGAUGAUGGAUGGAUGAAUGAAUUUUGAUUGGAUCUUUUAUGGAUGAUUACAAAAAUCCGAACGAGAGUUUCGAGUUCGACAUUGACGGCCCAUAUUAAAAGAGUACCGGGCUUUUUAUUCUCCGAUUUGCUCCUCAUACUUUUACUACUUUCUGAAUCAUACCACUAUUUUUAUUCCUUUUUCCAAAUGUGAAUGUUUAUAAUAAUUUUAUGGUCUCAUUUUUGAUCAAACUAAAACUAAAGUGAUAAAAGUAUAUAUUUUUAAGUAUGAAAAGAAAACAUAAAAAUGGAAUAAUGUACAACAAUUAUGGAAGAUUUAAAUUUAUGGCGCGAGACAUAUAUUUUUUUUUUUCUACCUAGUUUUUUAAUGGUAUUAUUUUACCGUGCAAAAAUAAAUAUAUUUUAUGUUUUUUUUUUUUUGCAUAAAAGUAAAGUCGAACUCCCGUACCCAAUGAUUUGUAUAGGUUGGCAUCGUCAUUUGCGUUAGAAAAUCUAAACAUAAAUGUACCUUAUUAAUACCUAACGGACUUACUUUUACCCACCACGGUUAGAUAUAACACAUAUAUUUACAAAUGUGUACAAGACAUAUUUAAUUUCAUAUGAAUUUAUCAACAUUUUAAUACACAACCAUAUAAUUAACUGAUUUUUUUUUAUUUUUCUAUUGCGGAUGAAAUAAAACGAUUUUACUUUACUCUAAAUUUAAAACAUUUAUAUAUCAGAUCAUAACUAAUUAUUUAAACUAAUCAAAAAAUACUGAGUUCCUUUUAUUUUUCUACAAUAUUAAACGUAAUUAAAUGAAUUAAUGAAACCAAAUUCUUUUUCAAUAAAAUGAAGAAAAAAACUUGAUAAGUAUAUUUUAUCGACAAAAUAAAUCAAAAUUGCAAUGUUUGGUUAAGUGGUCAAAAGAAAAAUAUAAUGGGUGAAAUUAAGCGCCUACUAAAAUUUCAGGGACGAAACAUGACAUUGUCACUCUUUGAGGAAACAAAUGGGGUCCUCUUGCCCCAAAUCGGAUAAAACCAGGUUAAUCCAACCCGACCGACCCGGUUUGAAAAAAAGGCGUUAGACAGUCCCAAACUCUCGUCGUUGAACGGCCGUUCGUUCCUCACUUUCCGGUUUCUCUCCGAUUUGCAACGUUGCUUCUCAGAAGCAAAAGAAUGCUUAACCAUUCAUGGGUAUGUUCUUGCUUUGUUGAUCUCCGAAGUUGACUAAAAGCACGGAACUUUACGUCCUUCUCUCAAGAAUUUCGAUAUCUUCCAUGAAGUUAGUAAAUUUAUCUGUAUAUAUAUAUAUAUGAGAUCAUAACUACGCAAAUUAAUGGUGUUACACAUUUUUGCACAAGAUUGUCUCUUUUGGUUCAACUAAUAUAAUUCAAUUUUAGACGAAUCUCUCAAUCUAACAAAGGAAAUCAAAGGCUUUUCAUUUCCUGUGUGAUUAUCAUAAAAAGGUUGUUGCAGUCUUUAAGCUUCUAUGUUCUUCUCAAUUCCAGCUGAAUCCAUUCAAAUCAAACUGUUUAGGACGUGUUGUGCCAUAGUUUUCGUCGCGUGUGUUAAGAUCUAGAGCUGUUCUUGUGUGUGUUUCAAGCUUGCAAUCUUCACCAUUCUCGUUGAAUCUUUCCUCUGUAUACUCACUGUUGUUGCUACUCCCUCCUCUGUGUUCAUGUAAUCCCACUCCUAUUGACAAUCUUCCAGGGCUUCUUCUUGAUGACGAGAUUCUCGGUUCUGUGUUGUUAACCAUUGUCGACAGAUAUGGCCUAUUGUUAUUCUCUCUGAGGCUUUCUUCUUCUGCCC
rnacentral:lncRNA from 1 species